GAAAUGCGAUAAGUAAUGUGAAUUGCAGAAUUCAGUGAAUCAUCGAAUCUUUGAACGCACCUUGCACCCUUUGGUAUUCCAAAGGGUACACCCGUUUGAGCGUCAUUGUAAUCCUCACCUCUUUGGUAUUUUUGGAUGCCCAAGAGAAGUGGAAAUGGAUGUUGCCGUGUUUCUAGAUGCGGCUCAUCUGAAAAGUCUCAGUGCAUGGCCGUGACAGGCUAGAGGUGCUUGAUGUGAUAAUUAAUUCAUCAUUGUAAUCCUCUUAAAGUUCUGACUCGGUAUUGGUGUGCUAUACAACAGUCCAGCUCAGGACAAACUUACAUUGACAAUUUGACCUCAAAUCGGGUGGGACUACCCGCUGAACUUAAGCAUAUCAAUAAGCGGAGGAAAAGAAACU
rnacentral:rRNA from 1 species